AACGAACGCUGGCGGCAGGCCUAACACAUGCAAGUCGAACGCAUCCUUCGGGGUGAGUGGCAGACGGGUGAGUAACGCGUGGGAACGUGCCCUUCAGUUCGGGAUAACCCAGGGAAACUUGGGCUAAUACCGGAUACGUGCGAGAGCAGAAAGAUUUAUCGCUGAAGGAUCGGCCCGCGUCUGAUUAGCUAGUUGGUGGGGUAAUGGCCCACCAAGGCGACGAUCAGUAGCUGGUCUGAGAGGAUGAUCAGCCACAUUGGGACUGAGACACGGCCCAAACUCCUACGGGAGGCAGCAGUGGGGAAUAUUGGACAAUGGGCGCAAGCCUGAUCCAGCCAUGCCGCGUGAGUGAUGAAGGCCUUAGGGUUGUAAAGCUCUUUCGUCCGGGACGAUAAUGACGGUACCGGAAGAAGAAGCCCCGGCUAACUUCGUGCCAGCAGCCGCCGCAG
rnacentral:rRNA from 1 species